UGGGGAAUUUUGGACAAUGGGGGAAACCCUGAUCCAGCCAUCCCGCGUGUGCGAUGAAGGCCUUCGGGUUGUAAAGCACUUUUGGCAGGAAAGAAACGUCAUGGGUUAAUACCCCGUGAAACUGACGGUACCUGCAGAAUAAGCACCGGCUAACUACGUGCCAGCAGCCGCGGUAAUACGUAGGGUGCAAGCGUUAAUCGGAAUUACUGGGCGUAAAGCGUGCGCAGGCGGUUCGGAAAGAAAGAUGUGAAAUCCCAGAGCUCAACUUUGGAAGUGCAUUUUUAACUACCGGGCUAGGGUGUGUCAGAGGGGGGUGGAAUUCCGCGUGUAGCAGUGAAAUGCGUAGAUAUGCGGAGGAACACCGGUGGCGAAGGCAGCCUCCUGGGAUAACACUGACGCUCAUGCACGAAAGCGUGGGGAGCAAACAGG
rnacentral:rRNA from 1 species